UAUUACAUGAAUUAUUCAUGUAAUUUUUUCGCCCUUAAAAUCAGGCCAAUUUCCUGAUUUUCAGUUAAUUAAUUCAGGCGAUUUCGUUCUCUGAUUUAUUCAGGCGCUCAAAUCUAGAAAAACGUGUUGAGUCCAUAUCGAAAUAUUUAAAAGGGAAAUUUCUAGCGUGAAAAUGGUAUUGAUGCUGAUGCGAUGGUGCUGGUUACCAUUGAAGAUUUAAAGUUAAUGUUUCCAAAGCUUGGAGAUUUUUUAAAGAUUAAGAGUGUAUUUUUAGCUAUAUAUUCUAAGAAUGUACAGCCUCCUUGUCUUAUCAAUACCAAUGAAGCAUAUAUACCUUUAGAAAGCUCUGCAUCUACAUAUACUGAUGUAAGACAGUCUAUUGAACCAACAACAACAAUCACAACAGAUCAAACAAGUUUUAAUGUUGUCAGCAGUUCUUCUAGUUCACAUCAAUGUCAAUAUAAGUUUGACAUUGACUCUAUGUUGAAAGAUCACCCUAACGGUGCAUCAAUCUUAUCCGAAUAUGAACGAACCGGGCAGUUAGUCUUGAUGAAAGAUCUUUUUGUGCGUAUUAUUGUUGGAAAUCUUGUAAAAGAUAGUAACUGCUAUCCCAAUACAGAGAAAAAAAAGGCUUUAGCACUAGAAGUGAUAAACCGCUUUCCAACCUUAAGAAGUGGUAAUGGUGAUGGUUAUGAUGCUUACUUCAGACAGUAUGUUGAAGUAUUACGAAACGGAAAAGUUAAAAAAUAUUCCCCAUCAGGCUAUAUUGAAGAGCGUUUGAAAACGCUGAGAAAACAACUGCCAAUUAUUGACAAGCCACACAAGCCGCAUCAGAAGCGCCUAAGAACAGAUGCAGUUAAUCUAGUCAAUGGACCCAUAACAGAGUAUUUUACAGAAGAUGAAAGGGUGCUCACCCAUGAACUUUUAAACGAGACACCUAACGAGAAUCGCAUAAAAAUUAUUAUGACAUCAACUUAUGAAAGUCGCAGUCUCUGGGUGAGGGAAGGAAGACCUCCAAUAAAAACAUUUUUUUCAUCAUUUCCCCCAUUUCCCCCAUUAAGAAAUAUUUACUCAUCUGCGUUUGAAGAGGAAUUCUGCAGAAGUGCACCCAACAGCAAACGGUUAGUGGAUGGGCUGGGAGACUUUUUUUGGGAGAGGUUUUUCACGGAUCCUUUUGUAUGCCAAAGGAAAACGCAAAGGGUUGUCAACCGAUCUUACAAUAUUACUUGACGAAAUAGCAGCUAACAACAACCUACUUGAAGAUACCAAAGAAGAAUACGCUCUAUUACUACUUCCACUUAUGUUAACGGUUCCUAUGCGAAAUCGGCAACGUGCCUCGGUUGCUGAAGUUUGCAAGCGAUUUAUCCAGCUUCAUCCUUAUGGAACUUCAAUGGACGAAAUUCUUUCUAAAAUCAAAAGUGACAGUAUUAAACAACCAAUAAUUAUUGCAUUGGGUGUAACUGGCAACAUUAGCCGAUCCUUUAUUGUUGUAGAAAACGAAGUUAUUGAAUCGUGUUGUAUGGUAUCUGAUGUUGAUAAGUGUUUCAAGCUACACUACAUCGGUCAAAUUGAGUACGACCAAAGUGUUAGUCAUGUUUGGCAGUUUUUGCAAGUGCAUUUUUAUGGGAUCUUAGAUAAUGUUCCUAUCUCAGAAUGUGUACGAGAUCUUGUUACUUUUUUAAAAGCACGUUAAAUAUGUUUGACACUCUUUUAAAUAAGCAACAUCUGCACAUAUUGUGAUAUAGAAAAUUUAUUAAUUGUUAUUCAAAUGCACGCAUCAACAAAAUCUUUUUUAUUUUAUUUGCAGUAUAUACUAAAAACUGUAAUGUUUGUAAUUAUGAUAAUAA
rnacentral:misc_RNA from 1 species